rnacentral:ncRNA from 1 species
GCGUGGGUCGGCCCGUUGGCCCUCAGGGUUCCGGCGGGCCGGGGGAGCCGCCGUCUCAUUCCCCGCGGACGGCGGUCUGGUCCGGGAGACGACCAGCGUCUCCCGGACCACA